rnacentral:rRNA from 1 species
UACAGAGGUCCCAAGCGUUGUUCGGAUUCACUGGGCGUAAAGGGUGCGUAGGCGGCCGGGUAAGUCUGAUGUGAAAUCUCACAGCUUAACUGUGAAACUGCAUUGGAUACUAUCCGGCUCGAGGAAUGGAGGGGAGACUGGAAUACUUGGUGUAGCAGUGAAAUGCGUAGAUAUCAAGAGGAACACCAGUGGCGAAGGCGAGUCCCUGGACAACUUCUGACGCUGAGGCACGAAAGCUAGGGGAGCAAACAGG